rnacentral:sRNA from 1 species
AGAUGAUCCAAAGGGUCCUCCAUUGAUAAACCAUGGAACUUAGAGGUUUGAACCAUGUUGAUGAGGCUUGAUUUAAUCUCAAAGUUGUUGUUCUCAACCGGAGGAGCUUGAAUACCGUUUCUAUUUCCACGGAUGUUUGGUUCAUCAAAGGCUCCAAUUGGUUGAUGAGCACUUGGUUGAUGUUGUGGCAUAUGACCAUCCCUAUUAGCUUGGCCAUUUCCAUUAUGGCCCCCAACUCCGGGUUCAUUCAUGACGCAUAACCGAGCAAGGUGUUCAAGUCGUUCUCGUUCUCUUCUUGCUCUAGCGUUUUCUCUUUCAAACAAGCGGAUGUCGUGAAUCUCUUCUACUAAGUUUGCUCGGCCGUGACUUCGUAGGUUCAUACACCUUUAAAACAAGAGCAAAGAUUCAAGUAUAAAGGAUUAGUAACUAAAGUAAAAGGCUUAGUCUCAAGCAAAUAUGAAAUCCUAAUGGCUAAUAACUAUUGCAAACCGGCAACGGCGCCAAAUUGAUGUAGCAUUUAUUUCAAUUAAUUAUCGAACCACAAUUUACAAUUAAUCAACUCACCAAGAAUACAC